rnacentral:rRNA from 1 species
GUACGAUACCAUUUAGCUUGCUAGAUGGGAAAGUGGCGCACGGGUGCGUAACGCGUAUGCAACCUACCUUAAUCAGGGGGAUAGCCCGAAGAAAUUCGGAUUAACACCGCAUAAAAUCACAGUACAGCAUUGUACAAUGAUCAAAUAUUUAUAGGAUUAAGAUGGGCAUGCGUGUCAUUAGUUAGUUGGCGAGGUAACGGCUCACCAAGACCACGAUGACUAGGGGAUCUGAGAGGAUGACCCCCCACACUGGUACUGAGACACGGACCAGACUCCUACGGGAGGCAGCAGUAAGGAAUAUUGGUCAAUGGAGGCAACUCUGAACCAGCCAUGCCGCGUGCAGGAAGACAGCCCUCUGGGUCGUAAACUGCUUUUAUUCGGGAAUAAACCUACUUACGUGUAAGUAGCUGAAUGUACCGAAGGAAUAAGGAUCGGCUAACUCCGUGCCAGCAGCCGCGGUAAUACGGAGGAUCCAAGCGUUAUCCGGAUUUAUUGGGUUUAAAGGGUGCGUAGGCGGCUUAUUAAGUCAGGGGUGAAAGACGGUGGCUCAACCAUCGCAGUGCCCUUGAUACUGAUGAGCUUGAAUACACUAGAGGUAGGCGGAAUGUGACAAGUAGCGGUGAAAUGCAUAGAUAUGUCACAGAACACCGAUUGCGAAGGCAGCUUACUAUGGUGUCAUUGACGCUGAGGCACGAAAGCGUGGGGAUCAAACAGGAUUAGAUACCCUGGUAGUCCACGCCCUAAACGAUGAAUACUCGCUGUUAGCGAUACACAGUUAGCGGCUAAGCGAAAGCGUUAAGUAUUCCACCUGGGGAGUACGCCCGCAAGGGUGAAACUCAAAGGAAUUGACGGGGGCCCGCACAAGCGGAGGAGCAUGUGGUUUAAUUCGAUGAUACGCGAGGAACCUUACCCGGGCUUGAAAGUUAGUGAAUGAGAUAGAGAUAUUUCAGUGAGCAAUCACACGAAACUAGGUGCUGCAUGGCUGUCGUCAGCUCGUGCCGUGAGGUGUUGGGUUAAGUCCCGCAACGAGCGCAACCCCUAUGUUUAGUUGCCAGCACGUUAAGGUGGGGACUCUAAACAGACUGCCUGUGCAAACAGAGAGGAAGGAGGGGACGACGUCAAGUCAUCAUGGCCCUUACGUCCGGGGCUACACACGUGCUACAAUGGAUGGUACAGAGGGCAGCAAGCUGGCAACAGCAAGCAAAUCUCAAAAAGCCAUUCACAGUUCGGAUAGAGGUCUGCAACUCGACCUCUUGAAGUUGGAUUCGCUAGUAAUCGCGUAUCAGCAAUGACGCGGUGAAUACGUUCCCGGGCCUUGUACACACCGCCCGUCAAGCCAUGGAAGUUGGGGGUACCUAAAGUAUGUAACCGCAAGGAGCGUCCUA